UCGACAGCUGGUGAAACCUGAAAAAUUACACGCGGGAUUCCCAAAGAAGAAAAUGACAAUUUUGUAUGCGAUAAAAAUUUACCGUUAUUUAUAUAAUAAAAAGUGGGUUUUAUUCUGCUUUCUGGUGUAAAUAGCUUUGAUCGUCUUGUAAGAAGUUUGUCAACGCGGAUGCAUCGUUUUUCCGAAGAGUCUGCGGAAAUGACGUCAUAAUUUUUUAAUACUUUUGUUUGAAAAUUUUGCCAAGUCUUUGUAGAAUAUGUAUCUCUGGAAUAAUAAAAAAUUUGAAUAAAAAUAUUUAAUUUUUU